rnacentral:rRNA from 1 species
UACGGAGGGUGCAAGCGUUAUCCGGAUUUACUGGGUUUAAAGGGUGCGUAGGUGGGUAGGUAAGUCAGUGGUGAAAUCUUCGAGCUUAGCUCGGAAACUGCCAUUGAUACUAUUUAUCUUGAAUACUUUGGAGGUAAGCGGAAUAUGUCAUGUAGCGGUGAAAUGCUUAGAUAUGACAUAGAACACCAAUUGCGAGGGCAGCUUACUACACAGUUAUUGACACUGAGGCACGAAAGCGUGGGGAUCAAACAGG